rnacentral:rRNA from 1 species
AUUGAACGCUGGCGGCAUGCCUUACACAUGCAAGUCGAACGGCAGCACGGGAGCUUGCUCCUGGUGGCGAGUGGCGAACGGGUGAGUAAUACAUCGGAACGUACCCAGUAGUGGGGGAUAACGCACCGAAAGGUGCGCUAAUACCGCAUACGACCUAAGGGUGAAAGCGGGGGACCGUAAGGCCUCGCGCCAUUGGAGCGGCCGAUGGCUGAUUAGCUAGUUGGCGGGGUAAAGGCCCACCAAGGCGACGAUCAGUAGCUGGUCUGAGAGGACGAUCAGCCACACUGGGACUGAGACACGGCCCAGACUCCCACGGGAGGCAGCAGUGGGGAAUUUUGGACAAUGGGGGCAACCCUGAUCCAGCAAUGCCGCGUGUGCGAAGAAGGCCUUCGGGUUGUAAAGCACUUUUGUCAGGGAAGAAAUCUUUUGGGCUAAUACCCCGGAAGGAUGACGGUACCUGAAGAAUAAGCACCGGCUAACUACGUGCCAGCCGCCGCCGUAA